rnacentral:misc_RNA from 1 species
GAUGAAGAACGCAGCGAAAUGCGAUAAGUAAUGUGAAUUGCAGAAUUCAGUGAAUCAUCGAAUCUUUGAACGCACAUUGCGCCCGCCAGCAUUCUGGCGGGCAUGCCUGUUCGAGCGUCAUUUCAACCCUCGAGCCCCCCCGGGGGCCUCGGUGUUGGGGGACGGCACACCAGCCGCCCCCGAAAUGCAGUGGCGACCCCGCCGCAGCCUCCCCUGCGUAGUAGCACACACCUCGCACCGGAGCGCGGAGGCGGUCACGCCGUAAAACGCCCAACUUUCUUAGAGUUGACCUCGGAUCAGGUAAGAAUACCCGCUGAACUUAAGCAUAUCAAUAAGCGGAGGA